rnacentral:rRNA from 1 species
UGCAGUCGACGCUGAAGCUUGGUGCUUGCACUGGGUGGAUGAGUGGCGAACGGGUGAGUAAUACGUGAGUAACCUGCCCUUGACUCUGGGAUAAGCCUGGGAAACUGGGUCUAAUACUGGAUACGACAUGUCACCGCAUGGUGGUGUGUGGAAAGGGUUUUACUGGUUUUGGAUGGGCUCACGGCCUAUCAGCUUGUUGGUGGGGUAAUGGCUCACCAAGGCGACGACGGGUAGCCGGCCUGAGAGGGUGACCGGCCACACUGGGACUGAGACACGGCCCAGACUCCUACGGGAGGCAGCAGUGGGGAAUAUUGCACAAUGGGCGGAAGCCUGAUGCAGCGACGCCGCGUGAGGGAUGACGGCCUUCGGGUUGUAAACCUCUUUCAGCACGGAAGAAGCGAAAGUGACGGUACGUGCAGAAGAAGCGCCGGCUAACUACGUGCCAGCAGCCGCGGUAAUACGUAGGGCGCAAGCGUUGUCCGGAAUUAUUGGGCGUAAAGAGCUCGUAGGCGGUUUGUCGCGUCUGCUGUGAAAGCCCGGGGCUUAACCCCGGGUGUGCAGUGGGUACGGGCAGACUUGAGUGCAGUAGGGGAGACUGGAAUUCCUGGUGUAGCGGUGAAAUGCGCAGAUAUCAGGAGGAACACCGAUGGCGAAGGCAGGUCUCUGGGCUGUUACUG